GGCUCUGUAGCUCAACUGGAUAGAGUACCUGACUACGGAUCAGGAGGUUGGAGGUUCGAACCCUCCCAGAGUCA
rnacentral:tRNA from 1 species